rnacentral:lncRNA from 1 species
UCUAAACAAAAGGAAGUUACCAUUUCCGCGACUACAAAAAACCCACUUGCUCGCAACUACCUUCAGAUAACCAACUUCGUCAUAAUAAAAGCUUAAUUUACAAUGCAUCACAACGAUUAGAUUUCCAUUUCAAUUCGACUACAUCCCCCAAGAACGAGCAUAACAUGUCUAGUAGUCAUCCAAAAUCUCUUCUUCCUCUUCUUUACCUUCAGCAUCUUUGUUGUCAUCAUCUGCGCUCUCAACUUCCUUCUCCUCAGCAUCAUCAGCUUGUUUCUCCUCAGCAUCAUCAG